UCUCUCUCUCUCUCUCACUCACUCGCCUCUUUCUUUGUGUGUGUGCGUGCGUGUGCCAACUGCCCAAAGCAAAGAUUAAGAUACAAAUAAGCAGCACUUUUCUCUGUACGUAUAUCUCUAAAAUAAAGUAAAACCCAAUACUCCUAUACAUAACUUUCGGUGUUGAGUGCUUUUUGGGGAUUUCUUGUUCUUCUGGUUUCCUCCUCCUCCUCCUCCUCCUCGCAUUUUGAAAAAGAGAAGCCACACCAUGGCAAGUGAUCGGAGGAUUGGCGUUCUCGCCAGACACCUGGGUGUGGAGAUGGACUUUGAGAGCCACACCGCCACUGCGAUCUCUGCUUCUCCUACUUCCGGCUUUCAAGGCAAUUCUGUUUUCUCUCAUGUUGUUCGGGCCCCUGAGGACCCCAUCCUCGGUGUAACCGUCGCGUAUAACAAAGACCCCAGUCCCGUCAAGCUGAAUUUGGGAGUUGGCGCUUAUCGAACUGAUGUUAGUUUUCUUCAUCUAAUUGUGUUCUGAAGGAAAACCUCUUGUUCUGAAUGUAGUGAGAAAGGCUGAGCAGCAACUUGUUAAUGACAGGUCACGUGUAAAGGAAUAUCUUCCUAUUACUGGACUGGCUGAUUUCAACAAAUUGAGUGCUAAGCUUAUUUUUGGUGCUGACAGCCCUGCUAUUCAAGAGAACAGGGUUACCACAGUUCAAUGUUUGUCUGGCACUGGCUCUUUGAGGGUUGGAGCUGAAUUUUUGGCCAGACAUUAUCACCAACGCACCAUAUACAUUCCCCAGCCAACAUGGGGAAACCACCCUAAAGUUUUUACUUUGGCUGGGUUAUCUGUAAAAACCUAUCGCUAUUAUGAUCCAGCAACACGAGGGCUGAACUUCCAAGGCUUGUUGGAAGAUCUUGGUUCUGCCCCAUCUGGAGCUAUUGUACUUUUGCAUGCAUGUGCUCAUAACCCUACAGGCGUUGAUCCAACUCCUCAACAGUGGGAGAAUAUCAGGCAGUUAAUAAGAUCUAAAGGGUUAUUGCCUUUCUUUGAUAGUGCCUAUCAGGGGUUUGCAAGUGGAAGUCUAGAUUCUGAUGCACAGCCUGUUCGCAUGUUUGUUGCUGAUGGUGGUGAACUACUUGUAGCUCAAAGUUAUGCAAAGAACAUGGGGCUCUAUGGGGAACGUGUUGGUGCAUUGAGCAUUGUUUGCAGGAAUGCUGAUGUUGCAGGCAGGGUUGAGAGCCAGCUGAAACUUGUGAUCAGACCCAUGUAUUCAAACCCACCCAUUCAUGGUGCAUCUAUAGUAGCUGUUAUCCUAAAAGAUAGGAAUUUGUACAAUGAGUGGACCAUUGAGCUGAAGGCAAUGGCUGAUCGUAUUAUCAGCAUGCGCCGGCAACUCUUUGAUGCGUUACGUGCUAGAGGUUUCCCAUUCUUGAGUUUCUCUUCCCUGUUUGACAAUCCCCUAAUGUUUUUCUUCUCCCUAUGUCCUUAUUGUGUUAUUCUUUCACUAAUUAUUUUCUACUAAUUUGGGGCAGGUGGUGGUAUUGAGUGUUAGUUGGGGCUCUCUCUUGGGUGUGCAUAUGACGUUAGUGUGUUAUUUCAAUCUACUUCUGCCCCUGGCAACAGUUUGGUUGGACGUCAAAUUUUAGGGGCUUAAAAAAAGUUUUAGGGGCAUAUGCCUGAUUUUAUCUGCAUGUGUUUUCCUGGGCACACUUUCUUAUGUGUCUUUCAUUCAAAAUUUUGGAUACUGUUUUUAACUUAGAUGGGAGUUAAUAACAUUGUAAUUGUAGAAACACUCAAGGGAUGGCUAAAGUUUAAAAAUGAACACUGAAAUUUGUAUAUACUGCUCAACCUUGGAACUCAAAAUGGUAGUUGCUGACCCUCAUGGAGCAUGCAUCCGCCGACACAUUUAUGGCCAAUCUCCAUGUUAGAUGUAGGAGAACUUUUAAACAUCUUUGAACAAGUAGGAUUAUUCAAGAUCAAAAUUUUAUGUUUAUAUCUAUUUCAUUUUCCCAACUUGGCAGGAACACCUGGUGACUGGAGUCACAUUAUUAAGCAAAUUGGAAUGUUCACUUUCACUGGACUGAACUCUGAGCAAGUUGCCUUUAUGACUAAAGAGAAUCACAUCUACAUGACAUCUGAUGGGAGGAUUAGCAUGGCAGGUUUGAGCUCGAAGACCGUCCCUCAUUUAGCAGAUGCAAUACAUGCAGCUGUUACUCGUGCUGCAUAGAACCAAAAAUCUGGUACUGCAUAUUUAGUAGACCACUGUCUGGCACGUCAAAUUGGUGGAUUUGCCAUGCCUUCUGUUUUUGCUGUUGUGGCAUAAUAAUUAUAGCCCCUGCAUGUAGAAGGCGAAAACAAAAUGCUUCUUUCAAAUAAGUUUUCCUGGGGCAAAUUAAUUACAGUUGCAGUCAUUUCGUAUUUAUAAAUUUUACGUGAAAUGUAUGUUAAAAUGUCAUUCCUUCUGAUUCCCAUCUUUUUUUUAUUUAUCAGCGUCUCUCACAGAUCUGUUGCUUGGAUAAUGAACUUCAUUUUAUUUACCUACAAGGUUAUUUUCGGACUUCAAGAUUAAGUUCUCUUUUUCCAUUCAAUGACUAUUUCAGCACUUGAUAUUAAGCCAAAAAUUCAAGGUUGGGGGAUAGAAAUAAAGUUGUCGUGGAUAGUGCAAGACGUUUGUGUUGGUUUUUUGGUUGAAAGUGACAGGAAUGACAAUUUCUUGGAAGGUGUCUAUCUGCAAAGCUUCAAUUUCUUGGAAGGUGUCUAUCUGCAAAGCUU
rnacentral:misc_RNA from 1 species